UUCCCAGAGUUUAGCUCCAACCCGGAUCAAACUCACCUGUCUGUGAUUGUCUUGCUCAGGUGUGUUUGAUUAGGGUUAGAGCUCAACUCUGCAGGAAAGUGGAUCUCGAGGUCCAGAUCUGAGGAUUCCUGUUCUGUUAUGUGCUGGUGAUCAGAUCAGACUCAUCUGCAUUGCUAAACUACAGACAGAAGGAGAUGAACCUUCACCGAUCGUCAUUUCAACUGUGUCAGACGCUGAUAAUAUCUGAGUCGCUAUGGAGAGCCAGGACCAUUGUAAUAAAACUCUGAUUGGAUUCAUCUAACUGAAGACAGUCAUACACUUAGGAUGGCUUGAGGUUAAUUUGCUCUGUGAUCUGUUUCCGCCCGUGGCUGUGAUUUUAACACACCCUCAUUAGUGCACAUGAUUAAUUAGACUUGUCACCGACAUGAGCGAUGCUGCUGUGAUCCAAAUAUCGAAUCUUCCACCAAAGCCUCUUUACACAUGUUUGUUUUUUUAAUAAAGAUCUUGAAGAUGCUGCUGAUGUAUAUUAUUCUCUACUCAAUGUUUCCUGAACAUUAAAGGCGUUCCGCUGAGUUUCAGACGCUGUCAGACAGAAAAUGAUGUGGAUUAAUAUUUAGUGUAAGUGUUAAACAGACUGAUGAUGCCUGCGGUAAACAUCUGAAGAUUGUACUGCUGAAUGAUUAAAUACAGAAGUAUGAGAGAAAAGCUUUGAUCUUUAUGAAGUCAUAUUUGAUCAGCUGUGAUUAUGAACAGUGAGCACCUGAGGAUUUUGUGUUUUCACAGCUAUAAGUGCUGUUCUUCUAGUGUGUGUGUGUGUGUGUUCAUUCAUUAGAAUUAAUCUAGACUUCCACGGUAAGCUUCCAUAUGGCCACACACACCCUAAUCACACAAAACAGUAAUUGCAUAAGGCAUAAUUAUUGUUAUCUUGUGUUUUAUUUGCACGGCUGCAGCUGUAUGUUUGUUCCCUGUCUCCUGACUCUUUAUAAACGACUCUAUAAUCACGGCCUGCCUUCAAAAGCGGCUCUUUCCACGAAACGGGAAAGGCUUAUUUAAAGAUAUCCAUCUGGAUCACGUCACACCAAUCACCUCAAGAUGACAACAAACAAAUAAAUAAUAACACA